GAUGAGCGCUGGCGGCGUGCCUAAUACAUGCAAGUCGAGCGAACAGACGAGGAGCUUGCUCCUCUGACGUUAGCGGCGGACGGGUGAGUAACACGUGGAUAACCUACCUAUAAGACUGGGAUAACUUCGGGAAACCGGAGCUAAUACCGGAUAAUAUAUUGAACUGCAUGGUUCAAUAGUGAAAGACGGUUUUGCUGUCACUUAUAGAUGGAUCCGCGCCGCAUUAGCUAGUUGGUAAGGUAACGGCUUACCAAGGCAACGAUGCGUAGCCGACCUGAGAGGGUGAUCGGCCACACUGGAACUGAGACACGGUCCAGACUCCUACGGGAGGCAGCAGUAGGGAAUCUUCCGCAAUGGGCGAAAGCCUGACGGAGCAACGCCGCGUGAGUGAUGAAGGUCUUCGGAUCGUAAAACUCUGUUAUUAGGGAAGAACAAAUGUGUAAGUAACUAUGCACGUCUUGACGGUACCUAAUCAGAAAGCCACGGCUAACUACGUG
rnacentral:rRNA from 1 species